rnacentral:misc_RNA from 1 species
GAGAAUUCUACGCCAUUAUAUAUCCUUCACUAAAGCAGCUGGAGGGGAAUUUAGUGGAAUUAAUGAAGGAGAAUACUAAAGUAACUCAACUCUCCAACACUUCAAAUGGAAGAGUGGAAGAGAAAAGACAGUCAUGUAAAAGUAUUCGGGGAGAAGAAGAAGAAUGUGGUAUAUGCAUGGAGACUGGCUCCAAGAUAGUAUUGCCUAAUUGUAGCCAUUCCAUGUGUGUUGGCUGUUUCCACGACUGGUACAUCCGGUCUCAAUCAUGCCCUUUUUGUCGAGGUAGUCUAACGAGAGUCAACUCAAGAGACUUGUGGGUUCUAACUAGUGACUGUGAUGUGGUUGAUAGCACCACACUAGAGCAGGAGAAUGUAAGGCGGUUC